CAUAGCCAGCUGUUAAUUUUGGCCUGUGCGGCAGGUGGUAACGGUGAGUCGAGCAGGUGGCUCCGGCGUGCUCGGCAGUUGGUUCCGGCAUGUCUGGCAGGUGGUUCCGGUCUGUCAGGUAGAUGUUUCUGGCGUGUCCGACACGUGCUUCCGGCUCGUCUCAGAGGUGGUUCGGGCAUGCGUGGCAGGGGAUUCUGGUGUGUCCGCCAUGUGGUUCUGGUGUACCCGGCAGCUGAUUUUGGCAUGUCCGGCAGGUGUUUCUGGCGAGUCGAGCAGGUGGCUCAGGCAUGCUCGGCAGGUGCUUCCGGCGUCUCCGGCACGUGGUUCUGGUGUGUCUGAGAGCUGGUUCCGGCAUGCCCGGCAGGUGAUUCCGGAGUGUUCGCCAAGUGGUUCUGGCAUAGCCGGCAGUUGAUUUUGCAUGUCCGGCGGUGGUUCCGGCGAGUCGAGCCGGUGGUUCUGGCGUGUCCGGAAGGUUGUUCUAGUCUGUCCAGGAGAUGGUUCCUGCCUGUCCGGCACGUGCUUCGGGCACGUCUGAGAGGUUGUGCUGGCAUGCCCGGCUGGUGAUUCUGGAGUGUCCGCCAAGUGGUUCUGGCAUAGCCGGCAGGUGAUUUUUGCGUGUCCGGUGGGUGGUUCUGUGGAGUGGAUCAGGAACUUCCAGCAUUCUCGGCAGGUGCUUCCGCCGUCUCCGGCACGUGGUUGUGGCACCUCUGAGAGGUGGUUCCAGCAUGCCCGGCAGGUGAUUCCGGAGUGUCCGACAAGUGGUUGUGGCGUAGCCGGGUGGUGAUUCUGGCGUGUCCGGCAGGUCGUUCUGGCGAGUCAAGCAGGUGGUCCCGGCGUGUCCGGCAGGUGGUUCCGGUCUGUCCUGGAGGUGGUUCCGGAGUGUCUGCUGAGUGGUUCUGGCGUAGCCGGCAGGUGAUUUUGGCGUGUCCAGCAGUUGGUUCUGGGGAGUGGAUCAGGUGGUUCCGGCAUACUCGGCAGGUGGUACCGCCGUGUCCGGAACAUGGUUCUGGCAAGUCUGAGAGGUGGUUCCGGCAUGCCCGGCAGGUGAUUCCGGAGUGUUCGCCAAGUGGUUCUGGCGUAGCCGGCAGGUGAUUUUGCAUGUCCGGCAAUUGUUCCGGCGAGUCGAGCCGGUGGUUCCGGCGUGUCCGGCAGGUGGUUCCGGUCUGUCCAGCAGGUGGUUCUGGGGUGUCAGGCACGAGGUUCUGGCACGUCUGAGAGGUUGUGUCGGCAUGCACUUCACGGGAUUCCGGCUUGUCCGCCAAGUGGUUCUGUUGUGGUGGGCAGGUGAUUUUGGCGUGUCCGGCAGGUGGGACCGGUGAGUCAAGCAGGUGGUUCCGGCGAGUGUUUCCUGUGUUUCCGGUCUGUCCGGGAGAUGGCUCUGGCCUGUCCGGCACGUGCUUCUGGAACUUAGGAGAGGUUGUGCUGGCAUGCCCGGCAGGUGAUUCCGGAGUGUCCGACAAGUGGUUGUGGCAUAGGCGGCUGGUGAUUCUGACGUGUCCGGCAGGUGGUUUUGGCGAGUCAAGCAGGUGUUCCCGGCGUGUCCGGCAGGUGGUUCCGGUGUGUCCUGGAGGUGGUUCCGGAGUGUCUGCCGAGUGGUUCUGGCGUAGCCGGCAGGUGAUUUUGGCGUGUCCAGCAGGUGGUUCUGGGGAGUGGAGCAGGUGGUUCCGGCAUACUCGGCAGGUGGUUCCGGCGUGUCCGGA
rnacentral:lncRNA from 1 species